rnacentral:tRNA from 1 species
GUGGCUCAGUGACAGAGCAUCUGCUUUGCAUGCAGAAGGACCUAGGUUCAAUCUGCUGCAUCA